UGAGGAAUAUUGGUCAAUGGGCGCAAGCCUGAACCAGCCAUGCCGCGUGCAGGAUGAAGCAUCGAUGGUGUGUAAACUGCUUUUGUACGGGAAGAAACACCUCUACGUGUAGAGGCUUGACGGUACCGUAAGAAUAAGGAUCGGCUAACUCCGUGCCAGCAGCCGCGGUAAUACGGAGGAUCCAAGCGUUAGCCGGAAUCAUUGGGUUUAAAGGGUCCGUAGGCGGUUUUAUAAGUCAGUGGUGAAAUCCGGCAGCUCAACUGUCGAACUGCCAUUGAUACUGUAGAACUUGAAUUAUUGUGAAGUAACUAGAAUAUGUAGUGUAGCGGUGAAAUGCUUAGAUAUUACAUGGAAUACCCAUUGCGAAGGCAGGUUACUAACAAUUGAUUGACGCUGAUGGACGAAAGCGUGGGGAGCGAACAGG
rnacentral:rRNA from 1 species